rnacentral:rRNA from 1 species
GUGCCAGCCGCCGCGGUAAUACCGGCAGCACAAGUGAUGGCCAAUCUUAUUGGGCCUAAAGCGUCCGUAGCUGGCCGAGCAGGUCCGUCGGGAAAUCCACGUGCUCAACGCGUGGGCGUCCGGCGGAAACCACUCGGCUUGGGGCCGGAGGACUCGAGGGGUACGUCUGGGGUAGGAGUGAAAUCCCGUAAUCCCGCUCGGACCGCCGAUGGGGAAACCACCUCAGGAGAACGGAUCCGACAGUGAGGGACGAAAGCCAGGGUCUCGAACCGGAUUAGAAACCCUAGUAGUCC